rnacentral:rRNA from 1 species
UUAUACAAUGAAGAGUUUGAUCCUGGCUCAGGAUGAACGCUAGCGGCAGGCCUAACACAUGCAAGUCGAGGGGCAGCGGGCCGGUCAGCGAUGACCGGUGCCGGCGA